rnacentral:rRNA from 1 species
GACGAACGCUGGCGGCGUGCCUAAUACAUGCAAGUAGAACGCAGUUGCGAACGGGUGAGUAACGCGUAGGUAACGGCCUCAUAGCGGGGGAUAACUAAUGGAGAAGAUAGCUAAUACCGGAUACUGUGAGAGGGACCGGCGUUGAAUUAGCUAGUUGGUGAGGUAAAGGCUCACCAAGGAGACGAUACCUAGCCGAACUGAGAGGGAGUUCGGCCCAACUGGGACUGGGACCCGGCCCCGACUCCUACGGGAGGCAGCAGGAGGGAAACUUCGGCCAUGGAGCGAAGUCUGACCGAGCAACGCCGCGGUAUUGAAGAAGGUUUUCGGAUCUUAAAGCUCUGUUGUUAGAGAAGCGUUAACUAAACAGAAAGGGACGGCUAACUACGUGCCAGCAGCCGCGGUAAUAC